GACGAACGCUGGCGGCGUGCUUAACACAUGCAAGUCGAACGGAAAGGCCCUGCUUUUGUUGGGUGCUCGAGUGGCGAACGCGUGAGUAUCACGUGAGUAACCUGCCCUUGUCUUUGGGAUAACUUCAGGAAACUGCGGCUCAUACCGGAUAGGAGCUCCUGCUGCAUAGUGGGCGUUGGAAAGUUUGGGCGGUUGGGGAUGGACUCGCGGCUUAUCGGCUCGUUGGUGGGGUAGUGGCUUACCAAGGUUUUGACGGGUAGCCGGCCUGAGAGGGUGACCGGCGACCUGGGGACUGAGAGACGGCCCAGACGGCUACGGGAGGCAGCAGUGGAGAAUAUUGCACAGUGGGCGGAAGCGUGAGGCAGCGGUGCCGCGUGCGUGAUGACGUCUUUCUGGGUGUAAACCGCUUUCGCCUGUGACGAAGCGUGAGUGACGGUAAUGGGUAAAGAAGCACCGGCUAACUACGUG
rnacentral:rRNA from 1 species